CUUUACUGUAGCCUGGUAUUGGGUUCGGGCUUUGACUGCGCAGGAUAGGUGAGAGACUGAGAAGUGUGCCUUGUGGGGCACAUGGAGUCAACGGUGAGAUACCACUCUGUCAGAGCUAGAGUUCUAACCUUCACCCGUGAUCCGGGGAAGGAACCGUAUCAGGUGGGCAGUUUGACUGGGGCGGUCGCCUCCUAAAAGGUAACGGAGGCGCGCAAAGGUGUUCUCAGGCUGGUUGGAAAUCAGCCGUAGAGUGUAAAGGCAGAAGAACGCUUGACUGUGAGAGUGACAACUCAAGCAGGGUGGAAACACGGCCUUAGUGAUCCGACGGUAUGCGCGUGGAAGUGCCGUCGCUCAACGGAUAAAAGUUA
rnacentral:rRNA from 1 species